AUGCGCGCAAGGAAGGACAUGGCUGUCCUUGGGUACUAACUACACCCCGCCCCCA
rfam:Culex flavivirus isolate H0901, complete genome